rnacentral:rRNA from 1 species
GAAUUUUCCGCAAUGGGCGAAAGCCUGACGGAGCAAUACCGCGUGAGGGAGGAAGGCUCUUGGGUUGUAAACCUCUUUUCUCAGGGAAGAACACAAUGACGGUACCUGAGGAAUCAGCAUCGGCUAACUCCGUGCCAGCAGCCGCGGUAAUACGGAGGAUGCGAGCGUUAUCCGGAAUGAUUGGGCGUAAAGCGUCCGCAGGUGGCGAUGUAAGUCUGCUGUUAAAGAGUGAGGCUCAACCUCAUAAGAGCAGUGGAAACUACAUAGCUAGAGUGCGUUCGGGGCAGAGGGAAUUCCUGGUGUAGCGGUGAAAUGCGUAGAUAUCAGGAAGAACACCGGUGGCGAAAGCGCUCUGCUAGGCCGCAACUGACACUGAGGGACGAAAGCUAGGGGAGCGAAUGGG